UACGAAGGGGGCUAGCGUUGUUCGGAAUUACUGGGCGUAAAGCGUGCGUAGACGGUUACGUAAGUCGGGUGUGAAAGCCCCGGGCUCAACCUGGGAAUUGCAUUCGAGACUGUGUAGCUAGGGUGCGGAAGAGGGAAGCGGAAUUUCCGGUGUAGCGGUGAAAUGCGUAGAUAUCGAGAGGAACACCUGCGGCGAAGGCGGGUAGCUGGGCCGACACUGACGCUGAAGCGCGAAAGCCAGGGGAGCGAACGGG
rnacentral:rRNA from 1 species